rnacentral:rRNA from 1 species
AUUGAACGCUGGCGGCAGGCCUAACACAUGCAAGUCGAACGGUAACAGGAAGCAGCUUGCUGCUUCGCUGACGAGUGGCGGACGGGUGAGUAAUGUCUGGGAAGCUGCCUGAUGGAGGGGGAUAACUACUGGAAACGGUAGCUAAUACCGCAUAAUGUCGCAAGACCAAAGAGGGGGACCUUCGGGCCUCUUGCCAUCGGAUGUGCCCAGAUGGGAUUAGCUUGUUGGUGGGGUAACGGCUCACCAAGGCGACGAUCCCUAGCUGGUCUGAGAGGAUGACCAGACACACCGGAACUGAGACACGGUCCAGACUCCUACGGGAGGCAGCAGUGGGGAAUAUUGCACAAUGGGCGCAAGCCUGAUGCAGCCAUGCCGCGUGUAUGAAGAAGGCCUUCGGGUUGUAAAGUACUUUCAGCGGGGAGGAAGGGAGUAAAGUUAAUACCUUUGCUCAUUGACGUUACCCGCAGAAGAAGCACCGGCUAACUCCGUG